GUGAAUUCUUUGGCCAAAACUGGCACUCCCCAGCCCCCUUCGAUGCUCCGCCAAUCAGGCUGCCCAAGAAACACGACCACAUGGUCUACUUUGCUGUCUCUGAAUAUGUCUUCAACACAGCCAGCCAGGUUUACCACCAGGCUGGGCGCAUGAACUUCACCAUCCAAAACCACCACAUUCCGGGGGACUCUCCAAUCCACCUGCACACCAGUUCAUUCCGGGCCAUUAUUCCUCAGCUGGCCAGGUUGUACCCCAAUAUGGAGCUAGAGCUUGAGACGUCA